CCUACGAGAGGCAGCAGUGGGGGAUAUUGCACAAUGGGGGAAACCCUGAUGCAGCGACGCCGCGUGUGGGAAGACGGUCCUCUGGAUUGUAAACCACUGUCCCCAGGGACGAAGAUGACGGUACCUGGGGAGGAAGCUCCGGCUAACUACGUGCCAGCAGCCGCGGUAAUACGUAGGGAGCGAGCGUUGUCCGGAAUUAAUGGGUGUAAAGGGAGCGUAGGCGGGACUGCAAGUUGGGUGUCAAAUCUACCGGCUCAACCGGUAGCCGCACUCAAAACUGCAGUUCUUGAGUGAAGUAGAGGCAGGCGGAAUUCCUAGUGUAGCGGUGAAAUGCGUAGAUAUUAGGAGGAACACCAGUGGCGAAGGCGGCCUGCUGGGCUUUUACUGACGCUGAGGCUCGAAAGUGUGGGGAGCAAACAGGAUUAGAUACCCGGGUAGUC
rnacentral:rRNA from 1 species